GCAAUGAGCGUAGUCCAAAGGUCUUUCGCUUCCAUUUUGGCCUGAUAAUAACAGAGUCAAACUCUUACUCAUUUGAAUUUGAUUAUGUUGUGUGUGUGUGUUUGAAUAUGAGCAUACAAAUACUAGUCAAGUCACUGUUAUUUUUAUAGCGCUUUUAACAAUGCAAACUGUGUCAAAGCAGCCUUACAUCAGCUUGAUAUAAAGCUGGGUGGCCUUACAGUAUUUAGACGGGGAAAUAGUGUGUCGAAAUAGUGUCAUGGGUGCUAAAUAGGAAAACGAUCUGCCGCCCACAGUUGAUUUUGAUAUUCUAGGUAUUAUCAAAUGGCCAGUUUUGAGAUCACAGCGGACGUGAAGGACUAUAAUGUGAUAAGAGCUCACUAAAAUACUGAGGUGCCAAACCAUUCAUGGCCUUAUAGGUAAUUAGCAAGAUCUUGAAAUGUAUACAAUAUUUAAUAGGGAGCCAGUGCAUUGUUGACAGAACCGGGCUAAUGUGGUCAUACUUCCUGGUUCUUGUAAGAACUCUAGCUGCUGCAUUUUGAACCAGCUGGAGUUUGUUUAUUAAACACGCUGAGCAACCACCCAAUAAAGCAUUACUAUAAUCUAGCCUUGAGGUCAUUUGUGUUAAACAACACGUGUCAGGACCUACUCAUUGUCGUAUUAAUUAAUGUUUUUUUUUUGUUUGUUUGUUUUUACUUCCUUUUAUGUAAAGCACUUUAAAUUACCACUACUGACAUCAAUUCCAUGCGACAGUAUUAAAUCUAGAGUAUGAUUUCGACAAUGAGUAGGUCCUGACACGUGUUGUUUAACACAAAUAGAGUUUAGAAUAUCUAUAAAUGCUGAUCCCAACAAAUCUUUUUCAUUAUCAACACACACAAAUAGGUAUUUUCUCAAAUGAUAUAAGUGACCAUUGUGCUGUUGGUAUGAUUAGAAAUUGCAAACUUAAAAAAACAGUGCCACGAAUUGUGGAGAAAAGGUAUUUCAAGUCAUUCAAUCAGCAAGCUUUUAUCCAUGAUAUUUUUCAUUUUGAGUGGAAAAAGGUCUGUUUAAUUCCUGAUGUUGAAUUGGCGUGGUCAUAUUUUAAGGAUUCAUUCAUGAGUAUUUUAAAUAAACAUGCACCCUUGAGAAGGUUCAAAGUAAAGGGGAGGAAUAAUCCCUGGUUUUCUGAUGCAUUAUCCCACUCUCUUGCAUGAACGGGAUUUGGCCUGGGCAAAGGCAAGGAAAUCUGGGCAAGAAAAUGAUUGGGUCAAUUUCAGAUAUUUAAGAAAUAAAUAGACUACACAAAUACGUAAAGCUAAGUCACAGUUCUACCUUGAUGAGACAACAAGAAAUUUUAAAAACCCAGCUAAAUUUUGGAAAAUUAUCAACUCAAUGAAAACAGUACAAAACUCUUCAUUUUCGGCUCUUCCUAAACUUGUAAAUGUUAAUAAUGUGCAAAUUACUGAUAAAAAAGAUCUAGUUGAUUUCUUUGAUAAUCACUUUGCCUUUACUCUCUUUAUCACUUUAAGUCAGAGCUAGAACAUCUUUCACCUCCAGGGUUAUUUCACCCCAAUGCUUGGGGCUCGAACUUCUUUACUUUUGAGCCAAUCUCAAGGGAAAAGGUCUUAUUCGCGUUGCGAAACAUAAAUUGUAAAAAGUCAGCUGGGCCUGAUGGGCUUGACCCUUCCCUUCUGAAACUUGUGGCUAACAUUAUUGUUGAACCAAUAACUUAUAUUUUUAAUUUAUCUUUGGAACAAAAUAUGAUACCCCGAUCUUGGAAGACAGCGCAUGUAACAUGGUUAGUGAUCAGUUAAAGGACUUCUUAACAGUAAAUAAUAGUCUAUUCCUUCUCAAUCAGAUUUCAGGAAAGGGUAUAGCACCAUCACAGCAGCCACUAAGGUAGUUGAUGAUAUUGUUAGUGCUAUUGACUGUAAAGAAUCUUGUGCAACAUUAUUUGUUGAUCUUUCAAAAGCCUUUGAUACGGUUGAUCACACCAUUUUGUUAAAAUGUCUGUCUAAAAUUGUGAUGUCUGUUAAUGUCAUUGAAUGGUUUUAAAACUAUCUGUCUAGUGGAUAUCAGUGUGUUACUUGUGUAGGCAUUAGGCCCUUUCGCACCGCAGGAACCUUUUCAUAGUACCCGAACUAAUUAUGGAACUACCCACUUUUUGGCGUGUUCGCACCGCGGGAACUAGGAACUGUUUUAGUUCCCGGAACUCCGUUUGGAGGACCAUAUGCACGGAGCGCUUUUUAGAACUUCCGGAUAAAGAUAAGCCAGUAAUCUUCCGGUGAGGCUCAUUUUAUAUGUGCUAUAUAUAGGUAGAGACUCUCACAGAAACCUCUCCUGCCUCAUUCUUAUCAGAAUCUGAGAAAAAAAUUAUUGCAACACCGUAAAUAAUGACAGCCGCAUUAACAUACAGUUUCAUGUUAUUAAGGAACAUAUAAUUUUAUAUGCAGAGUCUUGUAAUCCCAGGAAAGUACCCAGAUGCAUAACUGUACAUUUAAAUGCUGACAAAUAAACACUAUUGUAACUGUUUAGGCAGUUAGGCUAAUCUCUUCAACAACGUCUUAAUGGUAUUCUUGAUAAUCAAUAUCGUACCUUCAUAGCCAUGAACACAUUUUUAAAAUCUUAUAACAUUUUAAAGCCUUUAUUAUUUCUCAACUCUGUGUGGUAAAAUUCCCAGUAUUAAAGGUUCACUUUUCAUUCAUGAAGACGAGAUGAAGAAAUGUGCCGAUAACGUGUUGUUGUGUCUGAAUAAUUGUGCUACUUUGAAGGCCUCCCCUAGAUGGCACUGUUGAGGUACUUGUUCGAGGGUGGAAGAGUAAGAAGGAAAGGGGAAGUUAAGUAAACAAAGUGCGGUUCAAUACUGCUUGUUUUUCUGCUUCUUUAUUAUAUUGAUUCCCAACAUAACACGUGUCUCGGCGAAAAAUAAAGACUUUUUAAGAAGAAAAUGAAAUUACCGUUAUAAUCGGGAGAUGGCAGUAUAGGAUCACUCAUUGGUUGCAGCCGCCGUUUCAACUGCCUAGUUUUUUCACGUCUUCUGAUUUAUUAUAAAAUAAAUAUUACAACAAAUUUAGUAGCCUACUUUAUGGCACUGAAGUAUAAAGUAUAGCAAGUGCAGGAAGUCACAAAGUCACUUCCCAGAUAGCAAACUGACAUAGAAUCAACGUCGAUUUUUGGUUGUAACGGUCAGUAUCGAUCGUCAAUCAAAUUUCGAUGUUGAAUCAACGUUCAUUAUUUGGUCGGUACAUCAGAACGUUAUUACGUCGAAAAUAAAACAUCGAUUCAACGUCGAAACCACGUUGGCUUAUCAACCGACACAGCCGACUCAUCUGAUCGAAAUCAUAACGUCUGAUACAGGUUGAAAAUUGGUCAGAGGAAUCGGAGAUCUGCGCCUGCACUCUCACAGAGUGGAACAGGCCUGAAACUGUACCCGGGCAACUAAAUAGUUUUAUUCGUUAUUUUAUAUUUAUCCGUCUGUCUCUAAAUAUUAGCGGAAGAUGAAAGCUUUAAAAACAAUGAAUGACAAAACAUUUUAACUCGAGCUUUGUCGAAUGUUUUGUUAUUUUUUUCUGCAGACAUUUUUUACACCGCUGGCAUGUAUAGGAUAGGCAUUAUCAUUUUAAAACUCAAAUAGCUUCAGUUUGAAGUUAUAACUGCAUCUGUCUCGGGUGUAGACUGGUGAAUUAUGUUAAUAAACCUAUGUGUUCUAGUAGGCCUAAUGGCCCAUAUUCAGAUGUUUGUGUGGAGUGUGGAAUGCAGGACGGGGCGGCCGCGAGAUCACUUGCAUUUUUUUUUUUCCUAAUAAUGAAACGACAUCGGUUCGAAACUCAUAAUAGGCCCAACUCAUAUUAAUAAAUAAUUAAAAUUACUACUUUUUUCCCGACACAUUCAUAAUCAUUUGGCGACUUUUUCCUGUGCUUUGUGGCAAACUUUAUGCGUGUGCUUGAGCGCGGAAUUAAGGCUCACUGUGGAUUAUAAACUUUGGAUAAACAUGCGAUUAGGCCUAGUUGGCUUAAAUGAACGACUAGUUAAAUUGUUGGGGGCAGCUCUAUUAAAUAGCUACCCGUCUCCGCUCUUAGAACUGUCAAGUCCAUAACGGAGAGAUCACGUUGACUAGGCUACAUUGAUUUUCCCUCUGAAACACACACACACACACACACAAAAAAAAAAUGUAUGAAUAGACAACCUUUCUACAUCCGGCAGAUAUUGCUGCUUAUGGCUUGUGCAUUGUAAAUCGUACAAAAUAGCCUAUGUUAUCUCCCCAAAAACUCGUAUAUAAAUAAGUAAUAUAAAACACGUUUAUAGACUGAUUCUUUUUUGAAGUCUAGACUCUAUUUUAGGGAAUUUAGAAAAAUAUAAAGAGAUGGUUCAACACAGGUCUAAUAGCCUAUUUAUAUGAGAAUUUAUGUUUUGGCUGCGAAUGUCACGUCAAUAAAGCGGGAAUUGCUCUAAUGUGAUGCUGGUCUUUGAAAUACAGGUACUUCCUUUUUUUGUCCAAAGUUGUGAUGCUAGUUUUUGAAACACUGUAUUUUUUUUAUUUAUUUUUUUUUGCAAUUUCAAAACUGUUUUUGUGAACGUUCAUAAAAUAUUGCUUCACAUUUUCAUUCAUUUACUGUUUUUUUUUUUUUUGUUGUUAUUUAUUUAUUAUAAAGAAUCUAGUUAGGUGUGUUGAUCUGGCCCUCUUAACUGACCAAGUUUCUCUUGGACCCUUAGAGAAAUUAAUUGCCCACCCCUGGUCUACAUGCAAGCAGGCUUUCUAAUAAAAUAAGGUGGUUGAGUGUUCAUUAAAAAAUAAAUAUAUAUAUUAUAAAUAUAAAUAUAAAUAUAAAUAUAUAUUUUAUAUAUAUAAAAGUGCUGCUUUAUCCGACAAUAACGUGCAGAGUGUCAUAGAACUACAUUUAAAUAAAUUAAAUGUAUGAUUUAAUAAUAAUUUAAUUAGAUUUAAGUUAUUUAUUUAUGCAAUGUUCUAAUUUUAUAUGAUUAUUUAUGUAAAUUCUGCGUGACUGUGACGUGUUUUAAUGCGUGCGUGCUGAACGUUCGAGCCGCGUUGGUUCAAACACUGGAGCGGAGGGAGUUGCCAUGGAAACGGAGCGGCAACACAACGACUGACAAGCAGGAAGCCCCGAUUCUCGCUGCUGUUUUUACUGUUUUCGAAGAAAAACAAAAGCACGGCAAGAUGGGAGGCUCCAAGAUUUCACAAUUUCUGAAGGGAGCCGCAGAUGGAGAAGUAAGGAACACAAGUGAACAGACUCAGAGCGGACCUCCUGUCGGACAACAUCUCCCAGGCACAAUGAACAAUAUGGUUGGUUACUAGAGAUUACACCAGUUCCAGUUUGGAUCCAGCCUGGCGUGUGAAGACGCCAACACUCAAAGACUUCAGAUGAUGGCAACUAGAUGAACAUACAAAGCUGCCAAAUAAUCCUUAUAUUGUAAUCAUUGCCCUAAAAGGGAGAAACUUGUCAACAAAUCUACCUCACAGCGCAUCAAUGAAAGCAGUUUGGCAAUUACAGACGGGCGUGUUGGAUCAGGGUUAGAUCUGAAUUCUGCAGGUUUUCUGGAUUCCCAGUUGAAGACAUCAGUACAUCAGAUGUUGGCCUGGACAGCUGUAUCUACAGUACACCACACUGACCUCUGCUUUUGCAUAGAUGGCUGACUACUACCAUAGUAUUAUUGGUAUUAUGUUCUAAGGCAGAGGUACUCAAGUUCAGAGGCCAAGCGGGCCGCAUUUAAACUACAUAUUGCUAUAAUAUAAAGCACAAAUUACAAUUUGCAUCAUCAGACUUUAUUUAAGACAAUAUUUGCAGAUUUACUGAUUUAGAAAUACAGUUUAUUACUUAUCUAAGUCUUGCUUGUCCUUGUCCUAUUUAAAAUAAGACUGAGCAUGAAAUAAAU